UACGGGAGGCAGCAGUGGGGAAUAUUGCACAAUGGGCGCAAGCCUGAUGCAGCCAUGCCGCGUGUAUGAAGAAGGCCUUCGGGUUGUAAAGUACUUUCAGUCGUGAGGAAGGUGUUAAGGUUAAUAACCUUAGCAAUUGACGUUAGCGACAGAAGAAGCACCGGCUAACUCCGUGCCAGCAGCCGCGGUAAUACGGAGGGUGCGAGCGUUAAUCGGAAUUACUGGGCGUAAAGGGCACGCAGGCGGUUAAUUAAGUUGGAUGUGAAAUCCCCGGGCUUAACCUGGGAAUGGCAUUCAAGACUGGUUAGCUAGAGUCUUGUAGAGGGGGUAGAAUUCCAUGUGUAGCGGUGAAAUGCGUAGAGAUGUGGAGGAAUACCGGUGGCGAAGGCGGCCCCUGGACGAAGACGUGACGCUCACUGUGCGAAAGCGUGGGGAGGC
rnacentral:rRNA from 1 species